UACGGGAGGCAGCAGUGGGGAAUAUUGCACAAUGGGCGAAAGCCUGAUGCAGCUAUGCCGCGUGUAUGAAGAAGGCCUUAGGGUUGUAAAGUACUUUCAUCGGGGAGGAAAAACAAAACUAAUAAUUUUAUUUCUUGACGUUACCCGAAAAAGAAGCACCGGCUAACUCCGUGCCAGCAGCCGCGGUAAUACGGAGGGUGCUAGCGUUAAUCAGAAUUACUGGGCGUAAAGAGCACGUAGGUGGUUUUUUUAAGUCAGAUGUGAAAUCCCUGGGCUUAACCUAGGAACUGCAUUUUGAAACUGAAAUACUAGAGUAUCGUAGAGGGAGGUAGAAUUCUAGGUGUAGCGGUGAAAUGCGUAGAUAUCUGGAGGAAUACCUGUGGCGAAAGCGGCCUCCUAAACGAAUACUGACACUGAGGUGCAAAAGCGUGGGGAGCAAACAGGGAUUAGAUACC
rnacentral:rRNA from 1 species